UUCCGGAAGCACCUGCCUGAAUUAUCCUGCUGCUUUUGAAAACAUGUCAACAUGUAACAAACACGUAAACAGCCCGAUGCUGCUGAACAUGGAGGAUGGAAACAACAAGCCGAAACGCCGGAGGGUUGAUACUCACCUGCGCCAGCUGUGGACCACACACCCCCGCUGCUGUUGAGAUGCUACAGGUGAGCUGCUUUACUUCUCCAAGGAACUGAUACUGAUACAGUGUGAGUCCACUGCUGCGCCAUCCCAUUCAUCAACCUUCGAAUAGAAAAGAGGAAUAC